UACGUAGGGUGCAAGCGUUGUCCGGAAUUAUUGGGCGUAAAGAGCUCGUAGGCGGUGUGUCGCGUCGGCCGUGAAAACCUGCAGCUUAACUGUGGGCGUGCGGUCGAUACGGGCAUCACUGGAGUUCGGCAGGGGAGACUGGAAUUCCUGGUGUAGCGGUGAAAUGCGCAGAUAUCAGGAGGAACACCGGUGGCGAAGGCGGGUCUCUGGGCCGAUACUGACGCU
rnacentral:rRNA from 1 species